AUUGAACGCUGGCGGCAGGCCUAACACAUGCAAGUCGAGCGGAGCGGCGGAAGGGUGAGUAAUGCCUAGGAAUCUGCCAGGUAUUGGGGGCUAACGUCCGGACACGGGCGCUAAUACCGACAAAUAUAAGAUAAGCCUAGGUCGGAUUAGCUAGGUGGUGGGGUAAAGGCCUACAAAGCCGACGAUCCGUAACUGGUCUGAGAGGAUGAUCAGUCACACUGGAACUGAGACACGGUCCAGACUCCUACGGGAGGCAGCAGUUGGGAAUAUUGGGCAAUGGGCGAAAUCCUGAUCCAGUCAUGCCGCGGGUGUGAAGAAGGUCUUCGGAUUUUAAAGCACUUUAAGUUGGGAGGCGUUACCAACAGAAUAAGCACCGGCUAACUUCGUGCCAGCAGCCGCGGUAAUUC
rnacentral:rRNA from 1 species